UACGGAGGGGGCUAGCGUUGUUCGGAAUUACUGGGCGUAAAGCGCACGUAGGCGGGCUGGAAAGUCAGGGGUGAAAUCCCGGGGCUCAACCCCGGAACUGCCCUUGAAACUCCCAGUCUUGAGGUCGCGAGAGGUGAGUGGAAUUCCGAGUGUAGAGGUGAAAUUCGUAGAUAUUCGGAGGAACACCAGUGGCGAAGGCGGCUCACUGGCGCGAUACUGACGCUGAGGUGCGAAAGCGUGGGGAGCAAACAGG
rnacentral:rRNA from 1 species